AACGUCUCCUUGGCAUUGGACAAAAUUGAUGACCAAAAGGAAAGAAUUGGUCAACAGAGAUGAAUGCGGAACCACAGGGAAAGGAAGUCCCCGGAGCUGAUGCAGCAAUCAAACAGCCGGGGUUUCACUGCUUCUUGGAUGACUUUGCUAUCCAGAGAGAGGAGACACCACAGCCGUGAAGCUUUCGCUCUCUCCUCCAGUGCCAUGGUGUUGCCAGGUGACUCAGGACUCAAGCCUGGACCAUGAACAUAGCAAGCGGCUGCCUACCUGAGUGUGUUAACCCAGCUGGUGGCUCUCGAGGAUCCAGCUCAACGGAGACUCACUGCUCCACUUCCCCUGGCGCUCACGUCUCCAGUAGUCCUGGCCACCCAGUUUGCCGUCGGCAGGCCAGGACUCUUCAGCCCCCUUGAAGCUGUGUGAGUCGUCCAUCGUAAGUAAUUUCUUGUGCAUAGAUUGUUUCUCUGGAAGUGGGUGUCAACCCUGACUCCUGGCUCAGCAGCUCUGGGGCAUCCUCUGGAGCUGCAGCCAUGUGUGAGGCGCUUGGAGGCACGUGCACACCAGGCAAGUAGGAAUCUCACAAAGAUGGUGGAGAGGAUAUUUGGGGAGGUGGGCAGA